AUACGGAGGAUGCAAGCGUUAUCCGGAUUUAUUGGGUUUAAAGGGUGCGCAGGCGGAAAAUUAAGUCAGUGGUGAAAUCCUACAGCUUAACUGUAGAACUGCCAUUGAUACUGAUUUUCUUGAGUGCAGUUGAGGUAGGCGGAAUGUGUAAUGUAGCGGUGAAAUGCUUAGAUAUUACACAGAACACCGAUUGCGUAGGCAGCUUACUAAACUGUUACUGACGCUCAGGCACGAAAGCGUGGGGAGCGAACAGGAUUAGAAACCCCAGUAGUCC
rnacentral:rRNA from 1 species